rnacentral:rRNA from 1 species
UACGUAGGGUGCAAGCGUUGUCCGGAAUUAUUGGGCGUAAAGAGCUCGUAGGCGGUUUGUUGCGUCGGCUGUGAAAUCCCGAGGCUCAACCUCGGGUCUGCAGUCGAUACGAGCAAACUAGAGUGUUGCAGGGGAGACUGGAAUUCCUGGUGUAGCGGUGAAAUGCGCAGAUAUCAGGAGGAACACCGGUGGCGAAGGCGGGUUGCUGGGCUGAUACUGACGCUGAGGCGCGAAAGCCAGGGGAGCGAACGGG